GCGCCGGGCGACCUCGCGCGGGGGGUGGGGGGGAGGUGUGGCGGGGGUGCCGGGUGCAGAGCUGUGACUAGGCGUUUGGGACGUGCGCCGAGCACCCGGCUCUGACCUCCCGCCGUGACCUCGGCGCAGCUCGCUCCCCACACCCCGUGUGCCCCGUACUUGAACCCUAGUGGUUAGAGAGCCUGAAAGCCGAUUCUGGGGAUCCUGCUCGGAGAAGUAAUCCGUUGGAAGUGAGAGCAGAUUACCAAAAAAUUCUUUGUAUGUGUCAAGACUUAAUCACCGUGUAGCAUCAUAUGAAACCCGUGGGACGGUUAUUGACAUAUCUUACCCGUUAUAUAUGCAGUGCUUUGGCAACAAUAGGAAGGGUAGUCUUCCAGUUCUGUGGGAGCUCUCCUUUCACCAACACUGGGAGGUAGGGACCAUCUGUCAUUCCUAUUUUAAAGAGGAGGAAAUUGCCCCGCCUGGCGUGGCUCCUAUAAACCAGGAGGUCAUGGUUAGAUUCCCCUUCAGGGCACAUGCCUGGGUUGCAGGCUCUAUCCCCAGUGUGGGGUGUUCAGGAGCAGCCAAUCAGUGAUGAGAGAGAAUCAAUGAUUCUCUCUCAUCAUUGAUAUUUCUUUUCUUUUUUUUAAAAAAAAAAUAUAUUUUUAUUGAUUUCAGAGAGGAAGGGAGAGAGAGAGAGAGAUGGAAGCAUCAAUGAUCAGCUGCCUUCUGCACACCCCCUAAUGGGGAUCCUGCUUGCAACCUGGACAUGUGCCCUUGACCGGAAUCGAACCCAGGAUUCUUCAGUCCGCAGGCUGACGUUCUACCCACUGAGCCAAACCAGCUAGAGCCAUCACUGAUGUUUCUAUCUCUCUCUCCCUCUCCCUUCCUCCCUGAAAUCAAUAAAAAUAUAUUUUAAAAAAUAAAUAAAGAGGAGGAAAUGGAGGUUAAGCAACUUGCCCAGGGUCACAGAGCUAGGGAGUGCAGAACCUGGUGAUUUGAAUCAGAGAGCCCAGCCGAUGCUGAGGGCUGUCUAAGGGUAGGCAUCACUGAGCCACAGAGGAGCAUAGAAGCCAAGAAGCCACAAGCCUUGUGGUCCGGACACUCAUGGGCGGGGGUGGGUGGGGGCAGUGUCCCCACGGGGCCCAGGGAAAAGUGACAGCAGGGUCAUGGCUGGGCUGGAAGGCACCCUCGGGGGCCGGGGGAGCAGAGAGGAGGAGACCAGUGCAGCCUGGGAGGAAGUGGGUCAGGGACGCGAGGAGGGUGAGGCCUUGCCGGGCAGGGGAGGGAGGAGCAGGGGAGGCAGUUGGCUGGCAAGUUGGCGCGUUCUGGAACACGUGGAAGGGAAAAACCCCACAGAGCUUUCUUCCCCGGGGGAUGCUGGGAGGAAGAGGGGCCAGGUGGCCCGGAUUCCUCUCUGGAUCAGCAACCUCCGAAUGCCCAGAAUGUGUCGUCAGAGUUGGGAAACGGGUUCCUGGAAGGUCCCUGGCAGGCCUAGGGGCUGCUGGCGGCUGCGGCGGGCGUGCAGUGAGGAGGCGGCAGAGAACAGGCUGUCCUGGCAGUGUUUACCGUCGGGUCCUGUGGAGACGUCUUCACAGCUCAGCUCAAACCUCACUUCCUCUGGGAGCCAUCUGAGCCCCGUGCUCCAGCAGGGUGCCCGUGCUACGUGCUGGAAGACACCCUGUCCUUUUUUCCCCUGGAACUUCCCGUGUCUGUAAUACAUGCGGGCGUACCGGUGUCCUUCCCUAACCCAGGCUGCCGUUGAAAACUCCAAGAGCAUUCGUUGCCCCUGCCAUGUGUCUCCAGCCCUGGGCGCAGGGUGCGCGUCAUAAAUAUUUGUCAAGUAAGGUAUUGGGGGUCAUCGCCUCGAUGGCUCCUCCCUUCCCAGCCUUCACCUUGUUUAGGGCCGAUUGCAAAAUGUUCACCCCUGGCCGUGCUGGAUGCGGUUCACCUCAGUAUACUCGUCUGUGAAAUGGUCAGAUUGUACCAGAAUUUGAGGGUCACGUGCAAUGGUUCUCUGAUUUGAGAGCCAAGCUUCUGGAAACCUCACAGUGUCCGGCAGCCCUGUGGCCUGAGCGCAUUGCAGGGCUGCUCUUGGGCAGUGGGCCGGUUGUGUUGUUGAUACUUACAUGUACACACACAUUAUAGGCAACAUUUCUGCUUUCUAGUAAAUCAGAUGCCUAUUUGUCCCCCCAGUGGAAACACUCCAACUGUGUGAAGAGACAGUUGGGCUUGUUUUGGCCCCCAAAGUAUUAAUCUAGCCCUGGUUUGGGCCAUCCAUGCUCGGAGAAAAACUUGCUUCCAGUCUCAGCUGUCUCCCUUGAAUCAUUUUGACUCUGGAAGGCAAGGGGUGACCAAUCAACAAAGGUGAAGGGGGUCCCGGGCCUCGUCUUGCUCAUCUCCACACCCCUGAAAGCCUCACUGUGCUUGGGACAGACGUGGAGAGGGAAAACUGUCUGAUGUCUGCAUCCCUGACAUGGAAGGGGGGGAGGGAGACGAAGCCAAGCAGCAUUGGAGGGGAGAAAACAUCCCCCUGCAGAUCUGAGGUGACUCUUCAGUGUGAAGCAGUGAUUGAGCCCAGCCUGCAUUAAUAGAAGGAUGCCAUCUGGAAUGAAGGAGCAUCCAUAAAUACUCUUGCAAUGAGGCAGGUUGGAGGGCCACGUUGAGAUGGCAGACUUGGUGGAGAUGUGUGUCUCCUUGCCUGCUCAGAAUCCCACGGAAAGACGGAAAAGGUCACUCAUUCAAAGGCUGAAUGAGCUUCAACCAGUCUGUCAGGAGCCACCUGACCCCACGGGUUAGGUAAUCUGCCUGAGUGAUUCCUGCCAUCCCCCCGGGGAAAGUAAAUGGCAAGAAUCACCCCAUUUUGUUUUGCCUGUUACAACUUCCUCAUUCCUGCUCCCUUCGCCUGUAACCGUCUUUCCUCUUGCGCAGCUCCUUGAAGCUCCUUUCUGUCAGAUUGGAUGCUUCCCAAUUCAAAUGGACUUUUGCUCAAGUAAACUUCGCAUUUUUAUGAAGCCUCGGUUUAUUUUUUAACAGAACUCAUGCAAAUGACCCUAGGCCCUAGUGCCCCAUGUAUAAAACGGCCAUGGUAGUCAUACCAUUCUUCUAGAGUUUAAGGAUCCAAUAAAGUACUCUACUUAAGGGGAAGGAGUUCAAGGCAAUCUCAAGUUUAUCAGUCUCUUCUUUUAUGUGUCUUAUGUAGCAGAGUCAUCUCUACCCCAAAGGAAUAAAGAGUCUUCUGUUUUCCUCUUCCAAAUUUCUUUUACAGCUUUGAUUUUUUUUUUUAAUCCUCACUGGAGGAUAUUUUUUUCCAUUGAUUUUAGAGAGAGUGGGAGGGAGAGAGGAGAGAGAGAGAAACAUCGAUGUGAGAGAGCCACAUCAAUUGUACGUACCCCAACUGGGGCGGGGAACCUGCAACCCAGGUACGUGCCCUUGACCAGAAUGAACCCUCCACCCUUCGGUUCGAGGGCCGGCGCUCUAACCGCUGAGCCCCGGCUAUCAGCCAGGGCGAUAGCUUUGUGUUUUGCUUUUGUUCACAGACGAUAUGCAAAUCGGUAGCCAACCAUCCCAACACGUUUCCCUGACUAAUGAACCCUUUGGCCACUGACUUGAUCACCUGUGUCUUCUUCCAGCUGCCCAGGCGUCUUUCUGGACACCCUUUGUCCUACUGAGCCAACACCACUUCCUGCAGAACAAGCAGGGCUCGCCAACGACCAGCCUUUUUUGUCGUUUCUUUACAGAGCCGGCGUGGCUUUUCUCGCACUCUUCUUUUUUCUCAACGUAGCCUAU